UACGUAGGGGGCUAGCGUUGUCCGGAUUUAUUGGGCGUAAAGGGCGCGUAGGCGGCAAUUCAAGUCAGCUGUGAAAUCUCCGGGCUUAACUCGGAACGGUCAGCUGAUACUGCUUUGCUAGAGUGCAGAAGGGGCAAUCGGAAUUCUUGGUGUAGCGGUGAAAUGCGUAGAUAUCAAGAGGAACACCUGAGGUGAAGACGGGUUGCUGGGCUGACACUGACGCUGAGGCGCGAAAGCUAGGGUAGCAAACGGG
rnacentral:rRNA from 1 species